UGGGUAACCUGCCUCAAAGAGGGGAAUAGCCUCCCGAAAGGGAGAUUAAUACCGCAUAAUAUGUUUAGGUCGCAUGACUUUAACAUCAAAGGAUUUUUCUUUUAGAAAUUCCACUUUGAGAUGGACCCGCGGCGCAUUAGCUAGUUGGUGAGGUAACGGCUCACCAAGGCAACGAUGCGUAGCCGACCUGAGAGGGUGAUCGGCCACAUUGGAACUGAGACACGGUCCAGACUCCGUAGGAG
rnacentral:rRNA from 1 species